rnacentral:rRNA from 1 species
CAGCCGCCACGGUAAUACGUAGGUGGCAAGCGUUGUCCGGAAUUAUUGGGCGUAAAGGGCUCGCAGGCGGUUUCUUAAGUCUGAUGUGAAAGCCCCCGGCUCAACCGGGGAGGGUCAUUGGGAACUGGGAAACUUGAGUGCAGAAGAGGAGAGUGGAAUUCCACGUGUAGCGGUGAAAUGCGUAGAGAUGUGGAGGAACACCAGUGGCGAAGGCGACUCUCUGGUCUGUAACUGACGCUGGGGAGCGAAAGCGUGGGGAGCGAACAGGAUUAGAUACCCCCGUAGUCCCUGUCUCUUAUAC